AAACUUUACAAUGCUGGCAACAGCGAUAAGGGGACCUCGAGUGCCAGGAUACAAUCUUGGCUGUCGUGAUGCCUAAAAAGCAUUGCAUAGCAAGGGCCGGGCAAGACCGGUGCCAGCCGCCGCGGUAACACCGGCGGCUCGAGUGGUAACCGCUAUUAUUGGGUCUAAAGGGUCUGUAGCCGGCCGGAUAAGUCUCUUGGGAAAUCCAGCUGCUCAACAGUUGGGCUUUCAGGAGAUACUGUUCGGCUCGAGGCCGGGAGAGGUGAGAGGUACUUCAGGGGUAGGGGUGAAAUCUUGUAAUCCUUGAAGGACCACCAGUGGCGAAGGCGUCUCACCAGAACGGUCCUGACGGCAAGGGACGAAAGCUAGGGGCACGAACCGGAUUAGAUACCCGGGUAGUCCUAGCCGUAAACGAUACUCGCUAGGUGUCAGCCACGGUGCGACCGUGGUUGGUGCCGUAGGGAAGCCGUGAAGCGAGCCACCUGGGAAGUACGGCCGCAAGGCUGAAACUUAAAGGAAUUGGCGGGGGAGCACUACAACGGGUGGAGCCUGCGGUUU
rnacentral:rRNA from 1 species